rnacentral:lncRNA from 1 species
GGGGGAGGCAAGUUUAAAUAAGCAAUGAGAGCUGGUGCAAUAAUGACUGCAAGACUCCUCAGACCAGUCCGCGACCGCCGUGUGGCCCACUCACCAUGGCAAGCGGCUAGAGCUGGCCGACAAUUAGUAAAACCAUUAUGACACCGUACCUAGGACUGCAUUCUGAUUGGAAUUCCAAAAAGGAGAAGCCUUUUUCGAAAAGGCUCCAGUACCAGCGUACCGGGCGUCAAAAUAUCUGGCGAUCACUGAGUAUGAAAAUCGAGGAGAGCAGCUUCGAUCGUGAGAAAUUCUUUGUACUUCCUUCAUUCAGAACCCAAACUCAAAAGUAGGG